rnacentral:rRNA from 1 species
CGGAUUGUAGUCUGCAACCCGACUACAUGAAGCUGGAAUCGCUGGUAAUCGCGAAUCAGAAUGUCGCGGUGAAUACGUUCCCGGGUCUUGUACACACCGCCCGUCACACCAUGGGAGUCGGAAAUGCCCGAAGUCAGUGACCCAACCGUAAGGAGGGAGCUGCCGAAGGUGGAGCCGGUAACUGGGGUGAAGUCGUAACAAGGUAGC